GUUACGCUCCAAUGCAAAUUGGAGAAGCACCUUACUGGGCGGUCCCGCAGCAAUGCGGGACGCAUACUGAGCUGUAUGCUGGAAGUACUGUUUCUUAAAUGAAUGCAGAUUCUAAAGUACCACUGGUCGACAGGGUAAAAAACUUUAGACGCAGUUAAUCAGCAGGGAAGUCUGCGCCAAUUGGCGCAUGACCCCUCAACGACUACAUGCUUGGCAUCCCGAUUUAAAUUCGGGAUGAUGAUAUAGUCUGAACUGUAUGGCGACAUACAG
rnacentral:ncRNA from 1 species